rnacentral:rRNA from 1 species
ACGGGUGAGUAAUGUCUGGGGAUCUGCCCGAUAGAGGGGGAUAACCACUGGAAACGGUGGCUAAUACCGCAUAACGUCGCAAGACCAAAGAGGGGGACCUUCGGGCCUCUCACUAUCGGAUGAACCCAGAUGGGAUUAGCUAGUAGGCGGGGUAACGGCCCACCUAGGCGACGAUCCCUAGCUGGUCUGAGAGGAUGACCAGCCACACUGGAACUGAGACACGGUCCAGACUCCUACGGGAGGCAGCAGUGGGGAAUAUUGCACAAUGGGCGCAAGCCUGAUGCAGCCAUGCCGCGUGUAUGAAGAAGGCCUUCGGGUUGUAAAGUACUUUCAGCGGGGAGGAAGGCGAUGUGGUUAAUAACCGCAUUGAUUGACGUUACCCGCAGAAGAAGCACCGGCUAACUCCGUGCCAGCAGCCGCGGUAAUACGGAGGGUGCAAGCGUUAAUCGGAAUUACUGGGCGUAAAGCGCACGCAGGCGGUCUGUUAAGUCAGAUGUGAAAUCCCCGGGCUUAACCUGGGAACUGCAUUUGAAACUGGCAGGCUUGAGUCUCGUAGAGGGGGGUAGAAUUCCAGGUGUA